rnacentral:rRNA from 1 species
AUUGAACGCUGGCGGCAGGCCUAACACAUGCAAGUCGAGCGAGCGGCGGACGGGUGAGUAAUGUAUGGGGACUGCCCGAUAGAGGGGGAUAACUAUUGGAAACGGUGGCUAAUACCGCAUACGGUCGGAUUACCCUUAUGGGAUUAGCUAGUAGGUAAGGUAAUGGCUUACCUAGGCGAAGAUACCUAGCUGGUCUGAGAGGAUGACCAGCCACACUGGUACUGAGACACGGCCCAGACUCCUACGGAGGCAGCAGUGGGGAAUAUUGCACAAGGGGCGCAAGCCUGAUGCAGCCAUGCCGCGUGUAUGAAGAAGGCCCUAGGGUUGUAAAGUACUUUCAGUCGGGAGGCGUUACCGACAGAAGAAGCACCGGCUAACUCCGUGCCAGCAGCCGCGGUAAUAC